rnacentral:rRNA from 1 species
AUUGAACGCUAGCGGGAUGCCUUACACAUGCAAGUCGAACGGCGUGGCGAACGGGUGAGUAAUGUAUCGUAACGUGCCCAGUAGCGGGGGAUACCUACGCGAAAGCGUAGCUAAUACCGCAUACUAUUGGAGCGGCCGAUAUGGGAGUAGCUAGUUGGUGCGGUAACGGCUAACCAAGGCGACGAUCCGUCGCUGGUUUGAGAGGACGACCAGCAACACUGGGACUGAGACACGGCCCAGACUCCUACGGGAGGCAGCAGUGGGGAAUUUUGGACAAUGGGGGAAAGCCUGAUCCAGCAAUCCCGCGUGUGCGAUGAAGGCCUUCGGGUGGUAAAGCUCUUUUGGCAGGGAAGCGGUACCGGCAGAAAAAGCACCGGCUAACUACGUGCCAGCAGCCGCGGUAAUAC